CUUACUAACUAUGCUCGGAUAACGAGAGAGGGCUUCUGCUCUCAGAUUCAGAGGUUAUCGAAUGUGGAGAGGGAGACGAGCAUCUGCAUAAAUAGAAGGGUUGAUUUGGCGAAAACGGCUCUACUCAUUGA